CUUCGAUGCCUAGGAUGCACGCCUCAUAUUCGGCUAUAUUGUUUGUGCAAUCAAAACACAACCUCGAUGUGAAAGGAGUGUAUCCACCAUUCGGAUUCAAUAGAAUAGCUCCUACGCCAUGCCCCAUGUAAUUGGAGGAACCAUCGAACAUGAGCUUCCACCAAGAUCCAGAUUCAGGUUCUUCAUCAGGUCCUGUUGUAAUACCCCAAAAUUUACCCUUCAUUUUUCCCGAAAAAAAAAGAAGAAAAAAAAAACGAAAAAC
rnacentral:lncRNA from 1 species